AUUGAACGCUGGCGGCAGGCCUAACACAUGCAAGUCGAGCGGUAGCACAGAGAGCUUGCUCUCGGGUGACGAGCGGCGGACGGGUGAGUAAUGUCUGGGAAACUGCCUGAUGGAGGGGGAUAACUACCGGAAACGGUAGCUAAUAACGCAUAACGUCGCAAGACCAAAGAGGGGGACCUUCGGGACUCUUGCCAUCAGAUGUGCCCAGAUGGGAUUAGCUAGUAGGUGGGGUAACGGCUCACCUAGGCGACGAUCCCUAGCUGGUCUGAGAGGAUGACCAGCCACACUGGAACUGAGACACGGUCCAGACUCCUACGGGAGGCAGCAGUGGGGAAUAUUGCACAAUGGGCGCAAGCCUGAUGCAGCCAUGCCGCGUGUAUGAAGAAGGCCUUCGGGUUGUAAAGUACUUUCAGCGGGGAGGAAGGUGUUGAGGUUAAUCACCUCAGCAAUUGACGUUACCCGCAGAAGAAGCACCGGCUAACUCCGUGCCAGCAGCCGCCGUAA
rnacentral:rRNA from 1 species